GAUGAACGCUGGCGGCGUGCCUAAUACAUGCAAGUCGAGCGAACGGACGAGAAGCUUGCUUCUCUGAUGUUAGCGGCGGACGGGUGAGUAACACGUGGAUAACCUACCUAUAAGACUGGUAUAACUUCGGGAAACCGGAGCUAAUACCGUAUGAUAUUUUGAACCGCAUGGUUCAAAAGUGAAAGACGGUCUUGCUGUCACGUAUAGAUGGAUCCGCGCUGCAGUAGCUAGUUGGUAAGGUAACGGCUUACCAAGGGAACGAUGCAUAGCCGACCUGAGAGAGUGAUCGGCCACACUGGAACGGAGACACGGUCCAGACUCCUACGGGAGGCAGCAGUAGGGAAUCUUCCGCAAUGGGCGAAAGCCUGACGGAGCAACGCCGCGUGAGUGAUGAAGGUCUUCGGAUCGUAAAACUCUGUUAUUAGGGAAGAACAUAUGUGUAAGUAACUGUGCACAUCUUGACGGUACCUAAUCAGAAAGCCACGGCUAACUACGUG
rnacentral:rRNA from 1 species